CCCUUAGAUGUCCGGGGCUGCACGCGCGCUACACUGAAGGAAUCAGCGUGCUAGAAAACCUUGUUUGACAUGGCUAGGUAACCCGUUGAAAAUCUUUCGUGAUUGGGAUCGGGACUUGCAAAUGUGUCCCUUGAACGAGGAAUUCCCAGUAAGUGCGGGUCAUAAGCUCGCGCUGAUUACGUCCCUGCCCUUUGUACACACCGCCCGUCGCUGCCCGGAACUGAGCCGUUUCGAGAAGACUGGGGACUGCGAACUUUGGGCUGGAAAACAGCUUUUUGUUUGUGGAAACAACUUUAAUCGCAGCGGCUUGAACCGGGCAAAAGUCGUAACA
rnacentral:rRNA from 1 species